GCCCUGACACAGCCAAGGCCAAGGGCAGUGCAGGCACAGCCACCGUGACUCUCUGCUGGGAGGUUAACAGCUCCAUCAGUUCAGGGACUGCCUGACCCAGCCUGACCAAAUUAGAGCAAGUAAUGGGAGAAAGAAUUGUGCCAUGAAAAAUGGAAAACUCCUGAGAAGCUGUUCCAGCGUCAGGAGAGCAGCAGACAAGCUGGACUGGGGAAGAUUCUUCCUGCAAGACCUGCAGAGUGUAUGACACAUAACCAGCACCCAAGAAAUGUCUACCGAGGAAUUAAUGAAUGAGCCAUCUUGUGAUCAUCUGGCAAGACAGCCCAAGAAUAAAGCCGUCACCAUGGAGACUAAGAAGAGACAGAAAGACACUGGGUCUUCAUUGUCUCGUCCAGCUGUUCAUGAGGCCUUAUCUGAAGCCCACGUGACCUCCGGACUACUCACUUACAUGAGAGAAUAAAGCUCUUUUUUGUUUAGACCAAAUAAAUACAUAAUACAAUUACAUAAUCCCUUGAUUCCUUUUUAUGACUGAGCUCAGAGACUAUAUUUUGUCAUUUUAAAUCACCUUUGUCUUACAGUUUAUUUAACUGAAACAAAUAAACAAACCAAAACACGCCAGUUUUUCACUCCUCUGUCAAAGCCUUUCCAAGAUCACUAAGCUUGUGAUGUCCUGGGUGAAUGAAGAAGUAACAGUGUUUUCAACAACAUAGAAGCUUAUUUCUCUCUCAUAUAAAAGAAGGCUGGAGUCUGGCUGGUAUGGGAGAUACAGCAUCAUCAAAGUUUUAUCUUUUCGUCCUGCCAUCCUUAGAAUAUGGCUUUCAUCUUCAAGAUCACUUCCUAAGCUAUGAGGAUGCAAAGGUAUAAGAAUGACAUAGCGGACUUUGGGGACUCGGUGUGGGGAGAAGUUGGGAGGGGUGAGGGAUAAGAGACUACAUAUUGGGUACAGUGUACACUGCUCUAAAAUCUCAGAAAUCACCACCAAAGAACCUAUCCGUGGAAUCAAAAACCACCUAUACCCCCAAAACCACUGAAAUAAAACUAAAAAUUAAUUAAAAAAAAAAACAACAUAACUUCAUGGUCCAAUGUGACAGCUAGAGCGCCAAUCAUCAUGUUAAA
ensembl:lncRNA LINC01588 long intergenic non-protein coding RNA 1588